AGAGUUUGAUCCUGGCUCAGAACGAACGCUGGCGGCAGGCUUAACACAUGCAAGUCGAACGGCUGUAGCAAUACAGCAGUGGCGCACGGGUGAGUAACGCGUGGGAACAUCCCUUUCAGUUCGGAAUAACCUCGGGAAACUGAGGCUAAUACCGGAUACUCCCUCCGGGGGAAAGAUUUAUCGCUGAAAGAUUGGCCCGC
rnacentral:rRNA from 1 species